AAUCAAAACUCUUUUUUCUUACUUCAUUAACUUUAUUUUUCUUUUCAUUUUUUUUAUUUCUUUUCCUUCUUCAUUUUCUCCAUUCUUUUCUUUUUUCAUACUCUAAUCGUUACCAUAACAGUGCCGUCCAUGGCUUUCUCCAGCUGAUCCUACCACCAAAACACUUCCCUCUUUCUCCUUGUCUCAAAUAUUGUCUUGUGUUUCCUAGAAAAUCUCUUCAAAGGCUAAAAAUAAAAAAUUGAUCUUUGGGUUUUCAAAACUUCGAUAUUCACCACAGGCUAGGGAGGUUGCUUGUGAGGCUAAGAGCGGGCUGAGGGACCAAAGGAUGCAUGUCACAGAAAUAAUAUACCCUCUCGGUCUUGUGCUUGCAAUUUUCUAGGUAUCCCAUAUGCUGAGCUAUAUCAAAGUCGAAUUUUAAUUCCCAAUUUUGAUUUGUUUGAUGGUUCUAUGGAAAUUUGUAUAAACAUUUAUGUGUGGAUUAUGCAAAAUUGGCCGAGUGUUUUACAAAAAAGAGUUGAUAGUGGGGUUCUAGAUUAUUUUGAGUUCUCUAGGUCUGGGUUCCAAUUUGCAAAGUUUUGAGUUAGUUCAAAAUUGAAAUGUCUUUUAUUUUGGUUCUAAUUGUUUGGAGUGAUAAUGGUGAUGAAAACAAAUUUGAAGAAACAAAUUUGGGACUCCGGCCACCGUAUACGGCGGUAACCGCCGUCUUCGGCCAACGGCCAUGACGGACGGGCGGUGGCCCAUUUGGCCGGAGAAAAGGGGAAGGGUUGAGAGAAUUUCAGUUUUUUUUCUGAGGAAGAAGAAAAAUGAAAAUUUUUGAAAAAAAUUUGAUUUAAAUAGAAACCACUAAACGGCGCCGUUUUCAGAGUUGGGUUCAGAGACCAAAACGACGUCGUUUUGGCCUAUGACCCGUGACCCGACUCGUCUGCCUAUAGGAUCCGCGUGUUUCUGCGGUGAAUGGGCGAUUUUCGGAUGCGGUUCUUCCACUUUUGCGAAUAUUUACAAUUUAGUCCUCGGUGUUUUUUCCUUCUUACAUUUUGCGGUCUAAUUUCGUUCUUGUUUCAUUUCAGUCCAUACUGAAACGGUGCCAGGGGCUGGGAAUAAUUUCCCGUGUGGUCCUCGUCGUUUUUCAGCGCAUUUUUGUUGGCCCCUUCUUCCUUUUUAUUUGUAAUUUUUUGCCCUUAAAUUCUAUUCAAGUUCCGAUUUAGUCCUUUUUAUGUUUAUUCGUCUAUUUCAUCAUAAUUUAGACUCUAAAUUGUAUUUUAAUCUCAAUUUAAUCCUUUAAUCGUUUACUUUCAAGCUUUAUUAUUUAUUUACUCUUUUGAUUCUGUUUUAUUUAUUUUAUUUUAUUCAUUCAUUUAUUUAUUGCAUUGCUUUUCUUGUACCU
rnacentral:lncRNA from 1 species